rnacentral:tRNA from 1 species
GCCUGGGUGGCUCAGUCGGUUAAGCAUCUGACUUCAGCUUAGGUCAUGAUCCCACUGUUCGUGGGUUUGAGCCCCACAUCAGGCU